UACGUAGGGUGCGAGCGUUGUCCGGAAUUAUUGGGCGUAAAGGGCGCGUAGGCGGCGCGGGCAGUCAACGGUGAAAGCUCGGGGCUCAACUCCGAGUCGGCCGUCGAUACUCCCGUGCUCGAGCACUGUAGAGGCAGGUGGAAUUCCGGGUGUAGCGGUGGAAUGCGUAGAGAUCCGGAAGAACACCGGUGGCGAAGGCGGCCUGCUGGGCAGUAGCUGACGCUGAGGCGCGACAGCGUGGGGAGCAAACAGG
rnacentral:rRNA from 1 species